UUCUCUAAACCAUUUUCAAACAAGAAUUGGUCUACUGAAAAGUUUGCGAACUCAUCUGGUAGGUAGGUCAUGUCAAUGAUUGCUCACAGGUCUACAAGUUCAUUAACUAUAUAUAUCAAUAUUCUGUGCCUGUACCUGCCUAGUAUACGUGCUGUAGCCAAACCUUAGUGGUUUUAUAAAAUGUUUGGGUGUUUGUUGAGAUUACUUCAGUUGUCCAUUGCCUUCUCUUUUUCUUCCUGGUCUCUUUCUUUUCAAUUAUUUUCUGUCAGGAUGCAUGCGCUUUUCUGAAAACAGAGAAGGGGAGGGGGUUGUUUGGUGGGAAAGGGAAGGAAAAGAAGUAGGUUGUAGUGUUUGUGUUUAAAUUCUGUUGGUAGCCGACAUUUGGGUCAAAGGUCAUCAGAUUAUGUGCUCUCAAUGGGCAAUUAGACGAAGCUCACCACCUGUUCGAUCAAAUGCCUAAGAGGAAGAUGAAUCAAUAGCCAGAAAUUUCCACCUCUUCUGAAAAGAGUCUUCUAGGUGACAAGUUAUAUAUUGUAAGGGUCACUGGAUACCUGGCUCACGAUAUUCUAAGGGCUGUCCCUACCUCAAAGGGUCAAGCACUUGCUGAUAACUACGGUAUCAAAUUUUUUGAGACUAGUGCAAAAACAAAUCUUAAUGUGGAAGAAGUUUUCUUUUCAAUAGCAAGGGACAUUAAGCAAAGGCUUGCAGACACGGACACUAAGGCGGAGGCUUCAACAAUCAAAAUUAAUCAACCAGAUCGAGCAGCUGGCGCUGGUCAACUUGCUCAAAAAUCUGCUUGCUGCGGUUCUUGAACUGGAAGAAUACUACUGAGCACUUACAUCAGGUGCUCAAUGGCAGGAGAGAACAAAAACAAAAACUAAUUGUGACGAAACAUUAUCGGUGGAUGUAAUGUAAUUAAUUGUCAUUCUUUAAAAGGACUUAUUUUAGUUUGUGUAUGAUAGGCUCUUACUGAUCGAGAAACUUGCACUUAUUGUGGCCAGACGCUAAUGGUUUCAUCAGUAAUCCCUUCUCAAUGUGUCCUUUCAGUGUUGUUUAUUCUUUAAUUGUGAAAUAGAUUUGUGCAGA